rnacentral:lncRNA from 1 species
CUUUGAGGUAAGGAGUGGGUGUACUAUGAUUAUCAUCAUGUUACAGAGGAGGAUACAGACCCAGAAAUAUUCUGUAACUUGCCCAAGGACACACAGCUGGAAGUUGGCAGAGUUUGGACUAAAAUUCCAUAGCCAAAGCACUCUGCAACCUCCUUUCAGCCUGGAAGCGUCAUAGGAGUUUCCAAUAGAUGGGCCUCCUAAGACUCAAAGAACUGUUAGAACUGUGAGAAAUCCCAAACAGAACGAAAUUCCGACCUAAUGGAGCCGAAGAAUCAGCAGGAGCCCAAGUUCUAGUUUGCUGGGACAAGGAGGAAAUUCUGUAAAAACUCAAUGCCUUAUGCAAGGUCAAAUAAUUAAUGUCUUCCAGCAGUUUCCAUCCUCUGAGAAGGGCCCAACCUGCAUGCCACCGUGUCCCUUCAAGUGCAGGCAGUCUGGGAACGCAGGAUAAUGGAUCCUUGAGCGUGGCUAAUACUUGAUGGAAAAGAAUCUUUCUCUUCUGGGGCUACAAUGUAAUUUCAUACUAAAUUUACUGUGGUUUAUAUAAUUCUUUUCAUUCACAGCAGAAGGAGGUUCUUUGCUGCUUCCCUUUUCAGAAACUUGGAGACCAUAUAUCUUUGCAAAGUAGAUUUUUAAAAAUAAAACAAAGAAGAAAAGAUUAAACCAGAGAAGCUCCCAAGUUUUCUGCCUUCUGCCUGGACCAGCUUCCUGUGCUUCUUCCUUUCCAAAAUUGAUGUGGUAAAUGUUAUUGCAGUAGCCCUGGCUCACAAAAGCCCAGGCCUUCCAAGAAUGCAACCUUCAUGGAGAAAUUCUGCGACUCGUUCUCCUCUGUGGAGGCUGGAGAGUUAAGAUGUAGAAGGAGAGAGACAAAGAGACAAGGAGAAAUUUGCUUUAUUAGUGGCUUUCAAGAGAAUGAGGCCAGAAGACAGAGUCCUGGACCUUAUCCACGCUUGUCAUCCCAGAAGACGUUGCUACAAGGCAUGUCCUCGUCUCAGGUGGGCAGUGAGCCUUUCUGAAAAGCUCUGUAUAAGGGAGCAGCCAACCAUUGAUUUUCCACUCCAAGGAAUGGCCCCACAGGGGAGAUUUCCUCAUAGCCCUUCUCUCCUCUUAGGCAAGGUUAGCAGCUCUAGUCGGCAAAUCAUUCUCAAGUUCCACAAUCUCAAGUCCCCCUCUUGCCUGAUCAUGUCCCUCUGGUCACUGUCCAGCCCAUCAAUGUCAGAAUAACGGCUGGCUUGAUGUUUUGAGAUGGCAUUAUGGUGGUGAAACAUACCAGUGAGACAAGAAUACACAAAGCCUGCCUUCAAACAAUCUCUUAUCUUCGUAAGAUUCUGUAAUUGUUGCUUGGGCUACUAUAGCAAAAUACUAUCAACUGAGUGGCUUAAACAACAGACACUUAUUUCUCACCUACCGGAGGCUGGGAAGUCCAAAAUCAAGGUGCCAGGCUAUUUGGUUCCUGGUGAGAGCUCUCUUCCUGGCUUGUAGGUAGCUGUCUUUUUUCUGGGUCUUCACAU